AAAUCUCUUACGACGGUUCCUUAUCGAUACGAGGUCGCGUUCACUCGAUAGGACCUCCUUGUCGAUUUCACGAAUUCUAUCUUUCGGCGACGAUGAUUCGAUGGAUGUUCCAUCCUUCAAUUUUCAUAGCCAUACGGCACAUUUUUCUAAUUUUUAUGGAACGUUUCAAGCGUCCUUCUCGAGCGAAGGAGAGAAAAGCUUACGUUUCUGGUAAGAAAAAGUUGAAUUAGGUAAUAACAUCGGAAUCAGAAUAUCAAUAUUUUAUUAGCGUACCGAAGGUUCGCGCAAUACCCAAGAGCAACUAUCGAGAAGUUUAUUUAUCUUGAAAUUGGAGGAUUAAGGAGAAACUAACCGUAAUCGUCAGACGUCUGACGCUGGAUGUGGUUCCGAUCAGGCAGACGUAGCGUUAGUAGAUAUUUUCCAUCAAUGUCAGACGUUUGUGUACUAAUGCAUCGAAGAUGCACGCUUCUGCACGAUUUUCAGCUGUCGCAUUCGGUUAUCGAUUUAUAAGAAAUCCCACCUUUAUACUAACUUGUAAAUGGUCGUGUAGAGAAACGCAGCCGGUACAGCCAUUGCCUAAUUGAAUCAUUUUAAGCGCGUUGACUUCACUACUACGAAUUCAUUUCUGCUCUUUUGCAUUUUUUAAUCUGCGAAAUUAUAAGCAACGAAUUUAAUUCUUGCGAGGUAAAUUUUUCUGUUAAAAACAGAACAAUACGCGUAUAGUGGGUAACUGGUAUUAUUUAAAUUUGAAAGCAACAUGGGUUAACGUGUUCGUUGUUAGAAAGCGUAGCUGCGUUGAAAUUGCACAUUUCUUUCGUUACAAAUGUCUUCAUCUUCAUUGCAACGUAUUAUGUCUAACGCUUUCUCUAUUUUUCUAAGCCAUAUUGUCGAAAUGCGUAUAAACUGAAAAAACGCAGUAUUCGUGCCAGCCGCAUUACUCGAAUAAUUAAAACGUGGUAACGAACGUAUACAUCGUUAGCGAUGAAACGAAUGAUAUGAAAUUAUAAUUUAAAAGAAGAUGAUACAAAUAACAAUAAAUUCGACGGAAUAUUUUUAAAAUAGCAUUUCAUCGGUCGCAUUCUUGUAUUUUUCAAUUUAUGCGAUCGAUCGAUACGAUAUCUGAGCCAUUUGAACGUUCGAUUCUUAUGUUCGAAAGAUUGGUAAUCCACGAAUCAACUACUCGUUUAACAGGUUAAAAUAAUCGUUUAAACCUCUGAGAAAUUGAUCGAAUAGAAAAAUAGGAGUAAUCAGGGUAGGAAAAAUCCAGCGUGGCAGACGUUAGAGAUACUCGGUAGCGAGAACAAAAAAGUUUGUUCGGCGGUUGCGAAUUUAGGGCGCGAAACGUGGACGGGCGUGGGGCGUCCCUGAAUUUACGGGAUUUUCGUCGGCGGGCGCGAUUUCACCGUGGCGCUUUGCCAUUGUAUUCGCGGAAUUUCUCUCGUUCAUUGUUACAUAGCGGCGUUGGUGGCGCGGUUGGAAAAUUACGAGGCUCCCUCCUCCACUUCCUCUUUCUUCGUCUCUCGUCCGGUCGCGUUAUUUCUCCUGUGUACAAUGACGUGGAAAAGCCGAAGAAGGCUUUCACGCGCGUCCUUGUUGUCGCCUCGUUUUUACCUACGUUUUUUCCUUCCUAUUCGCACCUGUCCGUGACGUCCGAUAACGCGAUUGUAUCUUUCGUCAUAACGAUACGUAGUUUCGCUUUGUUAACCCUUUUGCUGCUUUACCCUUGGAACUGGCAACGUUUUCAAUAUGAGAAAAUUGGCGCUUGAAUACAUAGUUGUAAAUAUUAAUUAUGGUGUAAUUGUCAUUAAUCGCCAAUUACGAUAAAUUCUGACAUAAAUGGAAAUACAAAUGAUUGCGUUGUAUCGAGGACGAGUAUUUAAGGGUUUCAGCGAGUCAUUAAUUGGCCAGUAGUUGAGAACUCAGUGGAGAGGCGCAUUGAGGGAUCCUUUGAGAAAGAACCUGGAUAUAGUAAUUUUUUAAUUCGAUAGGUGAAAUUUUUAAUUCAGUGCGUUUAACUUCGAAGAUAAAUCUUGGAAUUAAAUUACGCGUUUAAACUAAUAUCGAUGAAGUUGAAUUAACGCGAUAACUGAACGAGUCUUAUUCGUUUCUUACAAAUCGUGCAUUUAUCACGUAUUUCCUAUCAGAUUACUAUCUUUCUCGACUGUAUUAUCUAUCGGAGUACUUCUUCUCAGCCAUCGAGUGGAAUAAAAUCAGACA